rnacentral:rRNA from 1 species
AUUGAACGCUGGCGGCAGGCCUAACACAUGCAAGUCGAGCGAGCGGCGGACGGGUGAGUAAUGUCUGGGAAACUGCCUGAUGGAGGGGGAUAACUACUGGAAACGGUAGCUAAUACCGCAUAACCUCAGAUGUGCCCAGAUGGGAUUAGCUAGUAGGUGGGGUAACGGCUCACCUAGGCGACGAUCCCUAGCUGGUCUGAGAGGAUGACCCGCCACACUGGAACUGAGACACGGUCCAGACUCCUACGGGAGUCAGCCGUGGGGACUAUUGCACAAUGGGCGCAAGCCUGAUGCAGCCAUGCCGCGUGUGUGAAGAAGGCCUUCGGGUUGUAAAGCACUUUCAGCGGGGAGGCGUUACCCGCAGAAGAAGCACCGGCUAACUCCGUGCCAGCCGCCGCGGUAAGAC